ACUGUGCCAUCUGGUGAAUAGCUCGGCUCGAGAGCCGAUGACGGACGUGUCAAGCAGCGAUAUGCUCCGGGGAGCCGCAAGAAGGCGAAGAACCGGAGAUUUCCGAAUGGGAAUCCCCACAGCAAUUGCCUUGCGCAAUGGGGAACGCUCCGAAUUGAAACAUCUCAGUAGGAGCAGGAACAGAACGCAACAGCGAUGUCGUCAGUAACGGCGAGUAAACGCGACACAGUCCAAACCGAAGCCUUCGGGCAAUGUGGUGUACGGGCUGGUCACAACCGGGAGCGGCGACGCGAGAAGUCUUCUGGAACGAAGCGCGAGACAGGGUGACAGCCCCGUAUCGUGUCAAAACUCCCGCGGACCGGUACCAGAGUAGCAGGGGUUGGAUAUCCUCUGUGAAGGACCCAGGCAUCGACUGGGAAGACUAAACACUCCUCGAGACCGAUAGCGAACAAGUUGCCUCAGCGAACGCUGAAAAGCACCCCGAGAAGGGCGGUGCAAAGGGCUUGAAAUCAGAUGGCGAUAGAGCGACGUGGCACGAAAGGCCGAUCGAGAAACGACCGAGGGGCGAUCCUCCAGUAGGAAUCGAUCGGAGCCGGUGUUGCGUCGUACGUUUUGAAAAACGAACCAGGGACUGUACUUGCUUGGCGAGUCUAACCCGAGAAUCGGGGAAGGCGAAGGGAAACCGACAGGGCCGCAGCGCGUUUCGACGUGCGAGGGCCGCCGUGUUCAAGCGCGGGGAGUCAAGCGGGUACGACCCGAAACCAGGUGAUCUACGCAGGGGCAGGGUGAAGCGUGGCGAAAGCCACGUGGAGGCCCGUUAGAGUUGGUGUCUUACAAUACCCUCUCGUGACCCGUGUGUAGGGGUGAAAGGCCCAUCGAACCUGGCAACAGCUGGUUCCGACCGAAACAUGUCGAAGCAUGACCUCCGUCGAGGUAGCUCGUGGGGUAGAGCGACCGAUUGGAUGACCCGCCACCGAGAGGUGUCGGCCAUCCUGUCGAACUCCGAACCUACGGGCGCCGUGGACGCGGGGAGUCCGGUGUGCGGGGUAAGCCUGUGCACCGUAAGGGAGACAACCCAGCGCUAGGUUAAGGACCCAAAAUGUGGACUAAGUGCGAUCGAAGGUGGUCUCGAGCCCCAGACAGCCGGGAGGUGAGCUUAGAAGCAGCUACCCUCCAAGAAAAGCGUAACAGCUUACCGGCCGAGGUUCGAGGCGCCGAAAAUGAUCGGGGCUCAAGUCCACUUGCGAGACCUGGCGGCACCCAUAGUGGUGAUCCAGUAGGUCGGCGUCGCGAUCGGGUGGAAGUACGGACGAGGGUUCGUAUGGACCGGUCGGGAACGAAAAUCCUGGUCACAGUAGCAGCGAAAGUCGGGUGAGAACCCCGACGGCCUGAAGAGCAAGGGUUCCUCGGCACUGUCAGUCAGCCGAGGGUUAGCCGAUCCUAAGUCUCCUCGUAAGACGCGGGAGACGAAGGGGAAACUGGUUAAUAUUCCAGUGCCGCUCCACAGAGAAAGCCGACGCCCGAGGAAACGUCGAGCUGGGCAAUCGCCCAGUCGAACCGGGGAAGGUCGUGGACGCCGUCAUGGCAAGAAGCGAUCGAAGCCCGGGAGAGGGAAACUCGACGGUACCUGGGGCCCGUGAAAAGGCGAGUGGAGUGAUCGUACCGAGAUCCGACACAGGUGCUCGGCCAGAGAAAGGCAAGGCCUGUCGGGAGAACCGGCGUUAGGGAAUUCGGCAAGUUAGUCCCGUACCUUCGGAAGAAGGGAUGCCUGCUUUGCAGAGAGCAGGUCGCAGUGACUCGGGCGCUCCGACUGUCUAGUAACAACACAGGUGACCGCAAAUCCGCAAGGACGCGUACGGUCACUGAAUCCUGCCCAGUGCGGGUAUCUGAACACCUGGUACAACAGGACGAAGGACCCGUCAACGGCGGGGGUAACUAUGACCCUCUUAAGGUAGCGUAGUACCUUGCCGCUUCAGUAGCGGCUUGCAUGAAUGGAUCAACGAGAGUGCCACUGUCCCAACGCUGGACCCGGUGAACUGUACGUUCCAGUGCGGAGUCUGGAGACCCCCAAGGGGAAGCGAAGACCCUAUAGAGCUUUACUGCAGGCUGUCGCUGGGACGUGGUCGCUGAUGUGCAGGAUAGGUAGGAGCCGAGACACAGGUACGUGCGCCAGCACGUCACCGAGGCAAGCGUGAAAUACUACCCGUCAGUGACUGCGACCCUCACUCCGGGAGGAGAACACCGGUAGCCGGGCAGUUUGACUGGGGCGGUACGUGCUCGAAAAGAUAUCGAGCGCGCCCAAUGGUCACCUCAUCCGGGUCAGAGCCCCGGAGAAGAGCGCAAGAGCAGAAGGUGGCCUGACAGUGUCUUUCCUAACACGAGACGCUGACGCGAGAGCGUGGUUUAGCGAACGGUCCAGGGUCCUCAAUGGACCCGGGGUACGACAGAAAAGCUACCUUAGGGAUAACAGAGUCGUCACUCGCAAGAGCACAUAUCGACCGAGUGGCUUGCUACCUCGAUGUCGGUUCCCUCCAUCCUGCCCGUGCAGAAGCGGGCAAGGGUGAGGUUGUUCGCCUAUUAAAGGAGGUCGUGAGCUGGGUUUAGACCGUCGUGAGACAGGUCGGCUGCUAUCUAUUGGGGGUGUGAGGUACCUGCCGUGAACGCUCGCAUAGUACGAGAGGAACUGCGAGUGGUCGCCACUGGUGUACCGGUUGUCCGGAAGGGCAGAUGCCGGGUAGCUACGCGACACGGGGUAAGAGCUGAACGCAUCUAAGCUCGAAACCCACACGCAAAAGAGGUACCGUAGAGGUCCCUCCUAGAAGAGGAGGUAGAUAGACUCGGGGUGUACGCACCGAGGGAACGAGGUGUUGAGCCCACGAGAACUAACAGACCGAGCCACAGUC
rnacentral:rRNA from 1 species